GAAUGCACUCCUCUGUGAGUGUUUGUAGAAUGAAGGGCCUGAAAUAAUUUGGUUCUCAGUUGCAGAUUGAAAAAAUCCCUGUUGUCAUUCUGCAUCUUUCCAGUCUUAGUGUACCUUUGCUGUAGAAAGCCCAUUAUUCAAAUUAAAAAUAUUUGAGUGAUAACAAUUAAUAAUUUCUGAGUGAAUUUUAAGAAACUACUAAAGUUUCAGAGCUCUGUGUGCAUGUGUGUGGGUCUGUGUAUGGGAGUGUGGUAUUCUGUAUUUUUCAGUAAGCUAUUUGUUAAAAAGAAAUUAAAUCAACUUAUCUAUCAUAUGUGUAUGAAAAGAGCCACCUCUCUGGUUGUUAAUUUUAUGUCCAGUUGAUAGAUUUUUGUGAGGUUGCAUGUUAAACACUAUUCUGUUUCGGUUAUAAUAGCUUGAGUUCUUUAGUGAUAUUAACAAAAAAGUUUUGUAAGUAUUAUUUUUUCACUAGAGAUAAAGAAAAUGUUACAAACAUUGAAUACCUGAUGGUACUUUCUGUAAGUCUCUCCACUAACUGUUUGGGUAAGUCUCCUGCUGGAAUAGUCCCUUUUCCCCACAUAUCACUUGUCAUGCAGUUUUAGCCGAAUCCAGAAUUUUGCUCAGAACUUCUCUGCUACAUUACAGGUUGUGUCUUCUUGUCACAGAGUCUGCAUUUAAAGGGUGCACGUUUAUGAUCAUGUGCCAUUCUGGCCUACAGAUUACAUUCUGAUUAUGUUCUAUUUUUUCUUCACUGAUUUCGGUUCCAUAAAUACACAAUGAACUUCUCUCAUGUCCAUAAGCAGGCUGGUGUUGUGUGUGUGUAUUCUUCUCAUCUCCAAGUGAUACACAGGAUAUUAUACUGGCAAAUCAUCUGGGCCACCUUCUGUAAGCUUUACACCAAGAGCUGAUAAUUGUCAGCCUGUGUCUCACUGCACCUUCAUUCAUGCACACAGCUCUGUCACAUGAAAGUUAAUCCUAGUCCUGUUAGUGAGAGAGAUAUGUAUGUACUUCAAGUUUUAAAUAGAAAUACAAUCAGAAUGUAGAAUUCUAUGAUGAUAUAUAGCCAAAGCAUGUCUUUCCCUUGAGGUUAGUUUUCUCUGUAACCAUCAACCGUGUCCGUUCUAGGCCAAAUCAAAUUGUUUUCUUUUGCAGCUCACGGUGACACAGAACACAGCACAUUGUAACUACAGGAACAGGCUCAACUUUGAAAUAUCUCUGUCAGGCAUCACAGAGGAUUUGAGGCAGAUGGCAGCUAUCAGCUGAAGCAGUCAGAACUGUACCAGAUAAAUAGAUAAUUGAAAAGCAAUCUGGAAAGCUGGAAGAGAUAUUAAGCCUCUCUUCUAGAAGGGAGGUAACAACUCAGGUAGGUCGCUGCUGAACUCAACUCCCAGAUCAGUGUUUUGUCUAAUGUCACUGAAAACACAGUGGCAGUUCAUGCCUGUAAUAUUCAUAUAUAAUAUGAAUAUUAUGAAGUAAUAUUUUGAAUAUUCUGAAGUAAUGUUUAAGUUGUUGUUAAGGCAGUUUGGCAUUUUCAGUUAUACAACAGAAUAAAGAAGGAUUUUACUACUUAAAGACAGGCGACCAAAAUCCCAGGAGCAAUAUGGCCCUUUGUUAAAUUACAGUAGCCAAAAUAGAAAACUGGUUACAAACCCUUUUCAUCCUCCAUGCUACUUUGUUUCUACUGCCAGGAAACCAAUAGUAUACCUACCACACUGGCCAUGAUUGUCUGAGGGGCAAGUGAUUUCUUUUUUUGUGUAAUUUAUAUUUGUAUUAAGAUAAUGGAACGAUUUCUGUUUUCUUUACCAUGAGCACAGAGAGAGGAAGGAAAAGGCCAAUGUCUAUGAGUAAAAAAAGAAGAUUUUGAUCUUGGUAGCUGCAUUUUAAAAGGGUCCUAAAAAACAUCUUUCCAAUCACUCAUGAUUCUCAAAUUUCUGACUACAGAAAGUGUGAAAUCUUGUGUGAACAUAGAAGGAGACUAAUACCAUUUGGUAGCUCCUCUUGCUAGGUUCUGAUCUCUUGUAGAACUGUAUUGGUUAUAGGGAGAGAGUAUGAGAUAUUUUUGUAACAGUGAGCACAGGAAAUAAGAUUUUGGCCUUUUUCAAAAGAAAGUGGCAUCUUUUCACCAGAAAAGUUCUUGAACUGAUCCACUGACAACUGUCUAUUUUGUUAAACCACUCAGGUGGAUCACAGAAAAUAUUAAUUCUUGUGAAGCUGAAUAAGACAAACAAAAAACAAACAAAAAAAAACCACCAAAAAAAACCACCAAAAAAAACCAACCAACAAAAGCAAACAAAAAUACUUUUUCUGCUCAAUUUACUUUGAAAGAUGCUUUUAAAAAUCUGUCUCCAAGAAGUCUGUCUAAAAAAUUCUGUCCAUUUAUACUGAAAAAACAUAGAGCAAAACACAUGCAUCGAAAUUUAUUUAAAGUAUUAGUUGCUACAAUUACAUAGCUAGGAAAGCAACAUAUUAAAUUCACAAAAUCCAUUAACAAAAAAUUUGCAUGUGUCCAUGUUGCUGGUUGCAGAAAUAAUGGGAUUCAUUUAAAGAGUCUCAAAGUCUUAAAAAGUGACUGCUGGUUUGUGGUUUUUUUUAAUGUAUUGUUCUAAUAUUUGAUUUACUGUGAUACUGGGCAUGAAUUACUUGUGCACAUAUGUAAAUCCUGCUUCUGUGUAUUGACUUUUGAGGAUGUUUCUCUGUCAUAUCUCAUUCUGUGACUGCUAAAACAAAGAAAAAUAAAAGGCAAAUUUUUAAAGCUUACAAAUGCAUGAAAAGUUUUAAGUUAUCAUUUGCUGUUUUGAGGCCUGAUUCAUCUUUCCAUUAUAAUUCUAGUAAUAGACUUUGGUCAGUCUAGAGCCAUAUUUUAUAUCAGUGUCUCAGUUUAGAUGAAACUGUACAAUUGUAAAUUACCAUUAUGUUGUAAAAUAUGUCUAACUUCAUUAGAUUACAAAACUUCUUAGGUAGCAGGAGAAUUUUCUUUUUGACUUAUGUAUUUUUAUUUUCUUCUAAAUGAAGAUGAAAUGUAAUAGCAAAAAAAUUGCUUUUUAGAUAAAAUUCCAGAAUCUGCCUAAAUAUUUAUUAUAUAAGAAUCUAGUAUAUCAAUAAUUAUAAACUAAAAAGAUGUUGACAACAUUGCAGUGUAAACAGUGCAAAUAAUACUUAGAAUAAUAAGCAGAGCCAGAAGUAAGAAAACAUCACUCAGAGGCAAGCAGCCUUAUAAUUAGGUUAGAAACAGAUGUAUUUAACUUUUUUUUUUCCCUCUCUUACAAUCCUUUGAGUAUUUCAGUCUUCUUCUGUGCUGUGAUCCAGAUUCAACAGGAAAAGUGAAAAAUAAAUAGUUCAGCUCAGGUUCACACUAUACAACUCCCUGAAAUGUAGGAGGUCUGAACAGAGGAAAGUCUUAGAAACUUGUUAUGGUCAAGUUUGCUAAUUGUGCUUGAAGGGGGACAUCCUUCAUUAUCUGGUUGUGCUCAAAUAUUAACUCAGUGCUCUCAGUCUCAGGGGAUGAAGGUGUCUGCCCUAUAUAGGCACAUGUCUUAGAUUAAAUGUUCAGACAUCAUGCCUGAGUGUUCCCAAAGCUAUUUGCUUUACCAUCAGGAGAAAGGAAAAGCCCUUAUGGGCUCUGAAUUUCAUCAUGGAGGCACUUAAAUCCCUCCUUUUUUGAGAGCUGGGCUGCCUUAGGAACUACGUGUGAACCAUUCUGUAGCUAUAAUAUUCUGAAUAAGGCUCUUGGGAGCAGAUGAGUUUGCAAAAAUGUUAAGCAUCAAAGCCAGGCCUUAGGUACACUGAUGGGAUCAUAAUCUGCACUCGAGGUAACAAGGCAGUCCAACUCCUGAACAGUUUCACAGAACAUGAUGAACUUCUUGAAUACCAUGAGUACAUUGAAACUGUCUUCAGUACUUCACUUGUUAUUCAUUGUGAUGAAAGCACUGGAGUAAAUGAUCAAAAUCAUACAUGAGGAGCUUUCACUUCAUGUUAUUAUGUAUUCUUGUUAAAAUCCUAGUUUGCUUUGCAACUCACUUCUGGCAUAAUCAUAUUUUUGCAAAGUUCAUAAAGCCUUAGAAAUAAAAGUAUGGUUGGAAUACUAGUGCUUGGCAUGCUCCAAAAGUGUAAAAAUCAUCAGUGUAUAAUGUAUUUACUUUCUUUACUAAAUAGGUCAAAAAUGUAUGUCUAAUUUUGGGGGACACAUACCAAACAAGUUCUUCUCCUAACACACAAAUCAACACCAGAAGACUUUUGAAGGAGAAAACACACAAUAUUUAUGUGUGUGGUUCUAAAGUGUAGUAUGAGGAAGUAGAAGUCAACUUUCUAUUUGGGGAAGGUCUCAGAUUGCUAAUCCAGACCCAACAAAUAUGUAGCAUGGCAAUGUGUUUGCAGGUGUUCACAUAUUUCCUCUUACUUUCUGCUGUCUUUCUUGUUCUUCAACAACAAGGCCUGAUGGAACUUCUGCUGAUGCCCCAGGAUCACAGUGUUUGUUUUGUUCAUUCCACAAAAUCAGUAUGAAUAGUUUCUUUUUUCCCAUUUAAAUUUUAUUGUCAGUCAUUGUCUCAUUGUCAGUGAUGUCUUUGGAUGCACAAGUCUGAAUUGGUAGUCAAAUAUCUACUUCUUGUCAAAUAGCUUGAAUUCUGCAACAAUUUAUUGUGGUCUAGGGUGAGACUUGGGGGUGAUCAAGACAUCUUAGACAUCUAUCUAUAUGGAAGGGCUCAGGUGUAAACUAUGUGUGUAAACUCUUGUUCUAGACAACAGUCAAUGCAAUCUUUAGACCCUUCUCAAUGCCUUGUCUGCUGAUGAACUGCUUUGCAUGUGUUUCAGAGGGAACUGAGUUGUUCUCUAAGCUCCAUCUGAGCACAGAAAAAAAUUAUGGCAUCAUGUGAAAUGUGCUGUCAGUUUCUGCCUUGCAGUUCUCUAUGGAACAAAAUUCCCUGAAAUUGAAAAAAUAAAUUUAAAAUAUAUUUUAAUCACUAAAUUCCUGACAAAAGUAGUGAAAAAAUCUUUCUUGAGUUUCUCCCAAAGACAAAUCAGGAUUCUGUAAAAUUGUUGGAUCUUCACUUAUCAUUUGCUUUGAUUCAUGCACGUCAUACAACAGUACUUGAAGCUAUUGGCACACUGCAUUUAUUGAUGCAGUGGGUUGUUCUGAAUUUUAUGUCAAUAUCUCUUACUUUGCAGUUCCACAUUAAUAAAAUACAUUGCUUUAAACAGUUUUUCAUUUCCUUUGUAGUGGUUCUCUCUACUGUGGAAAGUCAUUCAUCCCUUGUCCUGGAGAUUUUUACUUCUCAUGGCACUGACACCACAGGGGUUUUUAGAGCAUUGGGUUAAUCUGAAAAUCUCCAGCUAAUAUACUAUAGAAUAGGUUGGAAUCCAACCAUAAAAUAAGAUCAGAAAGCAAUAGCAAAGGACACAGUCCAAGUUAUGGUCAAAGUAAGGUUGCACAGUGUGGCUACUGCCCCAGCAACAGAGACAGAGCCUAGACAGCUGCAGAGCAGUGGCAGCCAGCCAGCAUGCCUGAAUAGAUGAAGAUAAGGCCAAAAGGAGGAGGACUUAAAUCUCAGAUAUUAGCUGACCUAAUAUAGAAUGAACAAGCUAUAUAAGAGCCUUACAGACCCAGAAAAGAACUAGAACAUCUAGCUGCAAACAAAGUCCUUGAAGUUCCUUCUGCAGCUCUUCAAAUAUAAAUUAUCAUAGCCAAAGUAUUUUUAAAAUAUUAGCUUUUAAAAUGUAUUUAGUUCUAAUUUUUUUUUUUCUGGGCACAUCAUAAAAAAUAUUUGCCGUCAAAUACAUAAUAUACUCAGCAAUUAUGUUUUUUAAAUGUGAGGCCAUUAAAUUGAGGCUGUGACUUCACAGGCACAUUACAGUUUAUGCAAAGGUAAUCCCAGUUUUCCUUCUUUGGAUGGGAAUUAGAAUCUGUUAUCCCAGCUAUACUGUUUUUAGUAUCCUAACUAACCCACUCUUCAUGUGGGAUAGGAUACUUUUCUGUCUUGUGUACUUUAAUUGUUCUUUCAAGAAACAAAAUCUAUUUAUGAAAGUCCCAUUUCUCCCUGAAAAGUACAUUUUUCAGAUGUAAUAUGUAAGCUGUUUUAUCUCUGCUGGCUGAAAAAAUUAUUUUUCCCAUUCUAUUUAUAAAGGAUAUUAUUGUUUUACAGGAUCGUUGCAGACCCUGACACAAAGAUACGUCAAUUAAAAAACAGGCAAUUAAAUAGCUCAAAAAGGAGGAAAAGAAAUGCAGUUCAAAAAUAUCUAUGCAGAGAACCCAUAGCUGUCUGCAACCCUGCCUGUUACUCUGUGUGGGUAGUACUCAGGAUUAGCUAUGGAAACAAAUGAUGUCAGAACCACUCCUAAACCUUUCCAAUUUUCCAGUGUGAAAAUAUCCUGUAGAAAUGUGGUGUGGUAUUGGAUAUGAAACAAAUGUUUGGGGUUUUUUAAAAUGUCAAUAGAUUUUUUUUCAUUAAAUUUUAGUUCAUUUGUGCUGUA